rnacentral:rRNA from 1 species
UACAGAGGGGGCUAGCGUUGUUCGGAAUUACUGGGCGUAAAGGGCUCGUAGGCGGCCAACUAAGUCAGACGUGAAAUCCCUCAGCUUAACUGGGGAACUGCGUCUGAUACUGGAUGGCUUGGAUCCGGGAGAGGGAUGCGGAAUUCCAGGUGUAGCGGUGAAAUGCGUAGAUAUCUGGAGGAACACCGGUGGCGAAGGCGGCAUCCUGGACCGGUAUUGACGCUGAGGAGCGAAAGCCAGGGGAGCAAACGGG